rnacentral:rRNA from 1 species
GACGAACGCUGGCGGCGUGUUUAACACAUGCAAGUCGAACGGAAAGGCCUGCUUUCCCUUGUGGAUUGCGGGUACUCGAGUGGCGAACGGGUGAGUAACACGUGAGUGAUCUGCCCCCAACUUGGGUAUAAGCCUGGGAAACUGGGUCUAAUUCCCGAUAGGACUGCAGGGUGGUGCCUGUGGUGGAAAACGAUUUUCUAGUGGUUGGGGAUGAGCUCGCGGCCUAUCAGCUUGUUGGUGGGGUAAUGGCCUACCAAGGCGGCGACGGGUAGCCGGCCUGGGAGGGUGGACGGCCACAUUGGGACUGAGAUACGGCCCAGACUCCUACGGGAGGCAGCAGUGGGGAAUAUUGCACAAUGGGCGGAAGCCUGAUGCAGCGACGCCGCGUGGGGGAUGACGGCCUUCGGGUUGUAAACUCCUUUCGACCGCGAGGAAGCCACCUGGUUGGAAGGGUGGUGACGGUAGUGGUAGAAGAAGCACCGGCUAACUACGUG